GGUUAUACUUCCAAAACCUGUACUCCACAAAAUUAGAAAAUCUGAAAGAAAUGGAUAAUUUUCUGGAUAGGUACCACAUUUCUAAGCUAAAUCAAGACCAGAUAAACUAUUUAAAUAGGCCAAUAAUACCUAAGGAAAUAGAAACAAUCAUUAAAAGUCUC